AACGAACGCUGGCGGCAUGCCUAACACAUGCAAGUCGAACGAGACCUUCGGGUCUAGUGGCGCACGGGUGCGUAACGCGUGGGAACCUGCCCUUAGGUUCGGAAUAACUCCCCGAAAGGGGUGCUAAUACCGGAUAAUGCCUUCGGACCAAAGAUUUAUCGCCUUUGGAUGGGCCCGCGUUGGAUUAGCUAGUUGGUAGGGUAAAAGCCUACCAAGGCGACGAUCCAUAGCUGGUCUGAGAGGAUGAUCAGCCACACUGGGACUGAGACACGGCCCAGACUCCUACGGGAGGCAGCAGUGGGGAAUAUUGGACAAUGGGCGAAAGCCUGAUCCAGCAAUGCCGCGUGAGUGAGGAAGGCCUUAGGGUUGUAAAGCUCUUUUACCCGGGAUGAUAAUGACAGUACCGGGAGAAUAAGCUCCGGCUAACUCCGUGC
rnacentral:rRNA from 1 species